rnacentral:rRNA from 1 species
UACAGAGGGGGCAAGCGUUAUUCGGAAUCAUUGGGCGUAAAGAGCGCGUAGGCGGUCCGGUAAGUCCGCUCUGAAAGUCCGGGGGCUCAACCCCCGGAAGGCGGGCGGAUACUGUCGGGCUAGAGUCCGGAAGAGGCGAGUGGAAUUCCCGGUGUAGUGGUGGAAUGCGUAGAUAUCGGGAAGAACACCAGUGGCGAAAGCGGCUCUCUGGGGACCAUCUGACGCUGAGGCGCGAAAGCGUGGGGAGCGAACCGG